GACGAACGCUGGCGGCAUGCCUAAUACAUGCAAGUCGAGCGAACAGAUGAAGUGCUUGCACUUCUGACGUUAGCGGCGAACGGGUGAGUAACACGUAAGGAAUCUACCUAUAAGCGGGGGAUAACAUUCGGAAACGGGUGCUAAUACCGCAUAAUAUCUUCUUCCGCAUGGAAGAAGAUUGAAAGACGGCUCUGCUGUCACUUAUAGAUGACCUUGCGGUGCAUUAGUUAGUUGGUGGGGUAAUGGCCUACCAAGACGAUGAUGCAUAGCCGACCUGAGAGGGUGAUCGGCCACAUUGGGACUGAGACACGGCCCAAACUCCUACGGGAGGCAGCAGUAGGGAAUCUUCCGCAAUGGGCGAAAGCCUGACGGAGCAAUGCCGCGUGAGUGAAGAAGGCCUUCGGGUCGUAAAACUCUGUUAUAAGAGAAGAACAAAUUGUAGAGUAACUGCUACAGUCUU
rnacentral:rRNA from 1 species